rnacentral:rRNA from 1 species
AUUGAACGCUGGCGGCAGGCCUAACACAUGCAAGUCGAGCGAGCGGCGGACGGGUGAGUAAUGUCUGGGAAACUGCCUGAUGGAGGGGGAUAACUACUGGCAACGGUAGCUAAUACCGCAUACCAUCAGAUGUGCUCAGGUGGGAUUGGCUAGUAGGUGGGGUAGCGGCUCACCGAGGCGACGAUCCCUAGCUGGUCUGAGAGGAUGACCAGCCGCACUGGGACUGUGGCACGGUCCAAACUCCUGCGGAAGGCAGCAGUGGGGAUAAUUGCACAAUGGGCGCAAGCCUGAUGCAGCCAUGCCGCGAGUGUGAUGAAGGCCUUCGGGUUGUAAAGCACAUUCAGCGGGGAGGCGUUACCCGCAGAAGAAGCACCGGCUAACUCCGUGCCAGCCGCCGCGGUAAUUC